UUGAGGUAAUGGAGAAAGUCUUGAUUUUGAGGUAAUGGAGAAGGUCUUGUUUUGAGGUAAUGGAGAAGGUCUUGUUUUGAGGUAAUGGAGAAGGUCUUGUUUUGAGGUAAUGGAGAAGGUCUUGUUUUGAGGUAAUGGAGAAGGUCUUGUUUUGAGGUAAUGGAGAAGGUCUUGUUUUGAGGUAAUGGAGAAGGUCUUGUUUUGAGGUAAUGGAGAAGGUCUUGUUUUUGAUUUAAUAAAAAGGGUCUUGA